CCAUUGCUGUGCUAGUCACUGACUACUAUGGUGAUUCUGGACGUGUGUAGGCUUCUCCAGCUGUGUGCAGAUGCACUUCAACUUGGGGCUCCUCCCUUCGAUGGUUACGUUUGCUGCACGGAAGAACACUUGCCUCUGCUGAUAGGGAACGUCUCAUUGCACCUCUUUUCCACACCAUCUGUCAGACCUGGACCCAUUCCAAACACUACGGCUUUGUUGGCAGAAUGGUCUUCCUGCUACAGAAGUUUUGUAAUCUGCUAAUUGAUGGGCUGGCUCCUGACACUUCUGGAAGGCGUCUGAGGAACCCUGGGCAGACGCCCUACAGCCGGAGAACCCCAGAGCCUCCUUGUUUGCUCGGCUGCUUGCAGCAGGCUGGGACAUCUUGCAGCACACAUGCGUCCAAUGCUGUAAAGAGUUUCAUUUGACGGCUUCACAAAGGAUUUUUGGUAAAUGUUGACAGAAAAAUAUCCAAAUGCAACUCUAGGAAAGACGUUCUACGAGGGACGAGGGUGACACAGUGCAGGGAUUCAGCUUUCUGCUGGUGCAUCUAAACGCAAGGCUGGGACCUAGAGGUCGGAAAACAGAGCUUCUUGGAGAAGGUGCAGAACAUUUAUAGGGACAAUACCUGGUCCAGGUGGCUUAGAAGCAAUGCCAGCUAAAGUCUCUGGAUUCAUCAGGAUGCUGUAGAAACAAGCAACCCCCAAGCUCCGGGGUUUAACGCAGCAACCUUCAUUUCCUGCUCCUGUUACGUGCUCCCCUCGGUCGGCAGGAGGCUCUGCCCACACAGCCACUUAGAAGCCCAUUGGAGUAAAAGCUGCCCCUCAUCACCCUGGAGGGUCCCAUGGGGUUUUUCUGUGCUUUCUCCCGGAAAAGACACUCCCUCCUCCUCCCAGCCUAAUGGUCAGGACUAGUCACACGGCCAUGCCCAACUGCAAGGGGGCUAAGCCUUGAGGAGUCGUCUGCAUGCUCCAGUCAAGGAACAGUGAGGAUAGCGUAGCACAGGGAGAUCAGCUCGGUGC